GACAGAGGUGCCGAGCGUUAGGCGGAAUCACUGGGCUUAAAGCGUGUGUAGGCGGAUGCCUAAGUACCUUGUGAAAUCCCACGGCUUAACCGUGGAACUGCUUGGUAUACUGGGUGUCUUGAGCCACUUAGGGGCGACCGGAACAAACGGUGGAGCGGUGAAAUGCGUAGAUAUCGGAAGGAACACCAGUGGCGAAAGCGGCUUCCUGGUCCAGCACCGACGUUCAGGCACGAAAGCGUGGGGAGCAAACAGG
rnacentral:rRNA from 1 species